GUCCCAGUGGCUCAAUGGUCUACGAGCUCGGCUUGUAACCGAAAGGUCCUGGGUUCGAAUCCCGGUGGGUGUG
rfam:Trichobilharzia regenti genome assembly, scaffold: TRE_scaffold0001510